UACCAAAGUUUUGUAUGCUAAGCGAAAAGGACUACUGGGAUCCAUGUCAAUUGGACUCUUUCAGAUGCAGGUACAUCUAAGCAUUUAAAAGCUUCCCAAUCAUGUUUUUCAUCAUUAAUUAAUUGUACUGAUGAUGCCUAAUGUGUGUUAAAUUAGUUUGCAGCUUCAUGCGCAUGGGGAGCAAAGGGGCACUACUUUUCCUACCAGAAGAUGAUGUGAUUUGCUUUCUCCACAAUAAGACCAAUAUGCUGAUGCUAAUUAGGCAGAAAGAAGGCAUUUCAUUCAUUGGUAUUCAGCCAAAUCAGGCCAGU
rnacentral:lncRNA from 1 species